AGGUGAACUUGCGGAAGGAUCAUUGUCGU
rnacentral:rRNA from 1 species